GUAGGUGGCAAGCGUUGUCCGGAAUUAUUGGGCGUAAAGCGCGCGCAGGCGGUUCUUUAAGUCUGAUGUGAAAGCCCACGGCUCAACCGUGGAGGGUCAUUGGAAACUGGAGAACUUGAGUACAGAAGAGGAAAGCGGAAUUCCACGUGUAGCGGUGAAGUGCGUAGAGAUGUGGAGGAACACCAGUGGCGAAGGCGGCUUUCUGGUCUGUAGCUGACGCUGAGGCGCGAAAGCGUGGGGAGCAAACAGGAUUAGAUACCCUGGUAGUCCACGCCGUAAACGAUGAGUGCUAAGUGUUAGGGGGGUUUCCGCCCCCCUUAGUGCUGCAGCUAACGCAUUAAGCACUCCGCCUGGGAGUACGGCCGCAAGGCUG
rnacentral:rRNA from 1 species